rnacentral:rRNA from 1 species
GACGUAGGGUGCGAGCGUUGUCCGGAAUCAUUGGGCGUAAAGGGCGCGUAGGUGGCGGGACAAGCGUGCGGUGAAAGCUCGGGGCUCAACCCCGCGUCGGCCGUGCGAACUGUUUUGCUUGAGCACUGUAGAGGCAGGCGGAAUUCCGGGUGUAGCGGUGGAAUGCGUAGAGAUCCGGAAGAACACCGGUGGCGAAGGCGGCCUGCUGGGCAGUAGCUGACACUGAGGCGCGACAGCGUGGGGAGUAAACAGG